AUGCACAUUGCCACGUGCGUGUGGCAGGAGAAGGCGGCGGCCAUGGGCGCGGCGGCCGGGGGCAGGGCCGGCGAGUGCAGGGUGUCGCUCGUGGCGCUGCUCGCGGCGGCGGGGCGCGCGCUCAACUGCGUGGUGAGCUUUGUGGUGUUCUCCUUCCUCGACGUGCUGGACAUGGUGCUCUGCCUGGUGUACAAGGUGGUGGACUACGCCGUGGAGGCCGAGUGGAAGCCCUGCUACUGCUCCGCCGCGGCGCGCGAGGGCGGCGGCGGCGGCGGCGUAGCAGGCGGCGCAGCGGGGGCGAAGGGGGCGCUGUCGUUCGUGGCCCCGCGGGCUGCGGCGGCGGCGGGGCCGAAGGUGGUGCGGCUGUCGUCGUCGUCGGCCAACAAGAUGCAGCUGGAGGACGUGUCGGACACGCUCUACGUGCGCGCCUCGCUGCUCUCGGACGCCACACGGAAGCCGGGCCCCAUCGCGCCGGCGCUGACCGUGAGCCCGGCCAUCGCCGAGCUCAUCCGGGGCAAGAUCGACCGCGCGCCACGCCCGCCGCGGCAGGCGCCCUGCUGGUCCGACUGCGACUGCAAGAUGUGCCACUCGUGGAGCACCGGCUCCCGCGCCUCCCACCUCUACGUGCACGUGCAGGCCCCGCCGCCGCCGCCGCCGGGGGCCGGCGAGCAGGAGGCAGUCAUCUUCAUCCACGGCUUCAUCUCCUCCUCCGUGUUCUGGACGGAGACGGUGUUCCCGGCGUUCAGCCUGGCGGCGCGCGGGCGGUACCGGAUGUUCGCCGUGGACCUGCUGGGGUUCGGGCGGAGCCCCAAGCCGGCCGACUCGCUGUACACGCUGCGGGAGCACCUGGAGAUGAUCGAGCGCUCCGUGCUCCAGCGCUACCGCCUCAAGUCCUUCCACGUCGUGGCGCACUCCCUCGGCUCCGUCCUCGCCCUCGCGCUCGCCGUCAAGUACCCCGGCGCCGUCAAGUCCCUCACGCUCCUCGCCCCGCCGUACUUCCCGGUGCCGGAGGAGGAGGCGGGGGCGGCGACGCAGUACGUGAUGCGGCGGGUGGCGCCGCGGCGGGUGUGGCCGCCGAUCGCGUUCGGGGCGUCGAUGGCGUGCUGGUACGAGCACGUGAGCCGGACCAUCUGCCUCACCAUCUGCAGGCACCACCGGGUCUGGAACAGGCUCUUCAGGAUCUUCACCAGAAACAAGAUGAGGACGUUCCUGAUCGAGGCGUUCAUGUGCCACACCCACAACGCGGCGUGGCACACCCUGCACAACAUCAUGUGCCUCAGCGCCAGCAAGAUGGGCGCCUACCUGGACGUGGUCGCCGGGCAGCUGAGCUGCAAGGUGGCCCUCUUCCACGGCCGCGACGACGAGCUGCUCCCCGUGGAGUGCACCCUCGCCGUCGGCGCCCGGGUGCCCCGGGCCCGCGUCACCGUCUACGACAACAAGGACCACAUCACCAUCGUCGUCGGCCAGGAGAAGCUCUUCGCCGCCGAGCUCGAGGCCAUCUGGCGGAGCGCCGCCCAGGACUAG
rnacentral:rRNA from 1 species